UGGGGAAUAUUGCACAAUGGGCGCAAGCCUGCUGCAGCCAUGCCGCGUGUAUGAAGAAGGCCUUCGGGUUGUAAAGUACUUUCAGCGAGGAGGAAGGCGUUGUGGUUAAUAACCGCAACGAUUGACGUUACUCGCAGAAGAAGCACCGGCUAACUCCGUGCCAGCAGCCGCGGUAAUACGGAGGGUGCAAGCGUUAAUCGGAAUUACUGGGCGUAAAGCGCACGCAGGCGGUCUGUCAAGUCGGAUGUGAAAUCCCCGGGCUCAACCUGGGAACUGCAUCCGAAACUGGCAGGCUAGAGUCUUGUAGAGGGGGGUAGAAUUCCAGGUGUAGCGGUGAAAUGCGUAGAGAUCUGGAGGAAUACCGGUGGCGAAGGCGGCCCCCUGGACAAAGACUGACGCUCAGGUGCGAAAGCGUGGGGAGCAAACA
rnacentral:rRNA from 1 species